rnacentral:misc_RNA from 1 species
AGCAGCCGCGGUAAUUCCAGCUCCAAUAGCGUAUAUUAAAGUUGUUGCAGUUAAAAAGCUCGUAGUUGAAUUUCGGGAUCAAUUUGCUGGUCGGAACCUCUGGUACGUACUGGUAUUAUUGAUUUCUUUCAUUCUGAUAGAUCAUGGAUGUCAUUAAUUUGAUGACUUUGAGGAAUCGGAACUUUUACUUUGAAAAAUUAGAGUGUUUAAAGCAGGCUUAUCAGGCUUGAAUACAUUAGCAUGGAAUAAUGAAAUAGGACGAUUGAUCCUAUUUUGUUGGUUUCUAGGAUUGACGUAAUGAUUAAUAGGGAUAGUUGGGGGCAUUAGUAUUCAAUUGUCAGAGGUGAAAUUCUUGGAUUUAUUGAAGACUAACUACUGCGAAAGCAUUUGCCAAGGAUGUUUUCAUUAAUCAAGAACGAAAGUUAGGGGAUCGAAGACGAUCAGAUACCGUCGUAGUCUUAACCAUAAACUAUGCCGACUAGGGAUCGGAUGAUGUUAAUUUUUUAAU